rnacentral:rRNA from 1 species
CCUACGGGAGGCAGCAGUGGGGGAUAUUGCACAAUGGGGGGAACCCUGAUGCAGCGACGCCGCGUGGGUGAAGAAGCGCCUCGGCGCGUAAAGCCCUGUCAGCAGGGAAGAAAAUGACGGUACCUGCAGAAGAAGCCCCGGCUAACUACGUGCCAGCAGCCGCGGUAAUACGGAGGGGGCAAGCGUUAUCCGGAUUUACUGGGUGUAAAGGGGGCGCAGACGGCGAUGCAAGCCAGGAGUGAAAGCCCGGGGCCCAACCCCGGGACUGCUCUUGGAACGGCGUGGCUGGAGUGCGGGAGGGGCAGGCGGAAUGCCUGGUGGAGCGGUGAAAUGCGUAGAUAUCAGGAGGAACACCGGUGGCGAAGGCGGCCUGCUGGACUGCAACUGACGUUGAGGCCCGAAAGCGUGGGGAGCAAACAGGAUUAGAUACCCGAGUAGUC